rnacentral:rRNA from 1 species
GGGAUUGCCUCAGUAACGGCGAGUGAAGCGGCAACAGCUCAAAUUUGAAAUCUGGCUCCUCUGGGGUCCGAGUUGUAAUUUGUAGAGAGUGUUUCGGGUGAGACCACGGUCUAAGUCUAUUGGAACAUUACGUCAUAGAGGGUGAGAACCCCGUAUGCGACCGUGGCUCGAGCCCAUGUGAAGCCUCUUCGACGAGUCGAGUUGUUUGGGAAUGCAGCUCAUAAUGGGUGGUAAAUUUCAUCUAAAGCUAAAUACUGGCUGGAGACCGAUAGCGCACAAGUAGAGUGAUCGAAAGAUGAAAAGCACUUUGGAAAGAGAGUCAAACAGUACGUGAAAUUGUUGAAAGGGAAGCGCUGGCAACCAGACCUGUCCGUGGGCGAUCAGCCGCUGUUCUCAGCGGUGCACUCGUUCUGCGAUCAGGCCAGCAUCGGUUUCGGCGGUCGGAUAAAGGCCCGGGGAACGUAGCUCCCUCUCGGGGGAGUGUUAUAGCCCCGGGCGCAAUGCGGCCAGCCGGGACCGAGGACCGCGCUUUUUAGCUAGGAUGCUGGCGUAAUGGUUGUCAGCGACCCGUCUUGAAACACGGACCAAGGAGUCUAACAUCUAUGCGAGUGUUUGGGUGUCAAACCCAUGCGCGGAAUGAAAGUGAACGGAGGUGAGAACCCUUUAGGGCGCAUCAUCGACCGAUCCAGAUGUCUUCGGAUGGAUUUGAGUAUGAGCAUAGCUGUUGGGACCCGAAAGAUGGUGAACUAUGCCUGAAUAGGGUGAAGCCAGAGGAAACUCUGGUGGAGGCUCGCAGCGGUUCUGACGUGCAAAUCGAUCGUCAAAUUUGGGUAUAGGGGCGAAAGACUAAUCGAACCAUCUAGUAGCUGGUUCCUGCCGAAGU